UACGAAGGAUCCAAGCGUUAUCCGGAUUCAUUGGGUUUAAAGGGAGCGUAGGCGGCCUUGUAAGUCAGUGGUGAGAUCUCGCAGCUUAACUGCGAAAUUGCCAUUGAUACUGCAGGGCUUGAGUACAGUUGCCGUUGGCGGAAUAUGACAUGUAGUGGUGAAAUACAUAGAGAUGUCAUAGAACACCGAUUGCAAAGGCAGCUAACGAAACUGUAACUGACGCUGAGGCUCGAAAGUGCGGGGAUCAAACAGG
rnacentral:rRNA from 1 species